CCUCCGUCCCAGGGAAAGUGUCGGUCGGUCCUUUUUUCAAAAAGCUCCUCCGCAAAUUCCCGACAAACAAGUGGGUAUUGCUUCCUGUCCGCAGCGCCGCUCCCUUCCUGACCCCGACGCCGUCGCCGCUCCCUUGCUGACCCCAACGCCGUCGCCGGCGCCGCUCCCUCGCUGGCCUCGCACCUCCUCUGCCCCCCACAGCCACCGCCGCUCCCUCCCGUAGCCCCGCAUCCAAGCGCAGGUCAACCGGUCGCGCAUAGGCGGCAAGGGCUCGCUCAAGGGCCGCCGCUCUCUCGCUGGCCACCACCGUCUCCGUCGAGGCCGCCGAGCUCUGGCGCCGCGUCGAAGACAGCUUCAACUCGCUCACCCGCGACGAGCUCCUCUCCCGCAUCCACUGUCGGUACCUCCCGCAGCCCUGUAGUCUCCAUUUCGGUGGAGCUGAAAAUUGGAGUUUUUCGACGGAUCCGCGUCGUAGUUCCCACCAGCGGCGAGAAGAGGAGGUAGAAGCGACGGAUUUGAAUGCAGGGUCUGCGCUCCCCCACCGCCGAGCUCUGAUUUUUCCUCUACGCACCGGAUUUGAAGGCAUAGUCUGCGCUCCCCCAAUGCGUCGACCUCCAAACCCAAAGCAAAUGGUUGGCAUCUGUGGCGUCGAGAAGUCGUUGCAGGCAGAAGAAGCUCUCACCCAGGGCAGCGGGUGUCUUGCCGAUGACGCAAACAUUGGGAGCUUCGUGGCCAUUGCACUCGGCAAGCUGUCCAGCCUUGAAGGUUUUGUCAUACAGGUGCUCUCGUAUCAGUAAGGGAUUGUAGAGACCUGAACAAGGCUAGGUCAAGAACAUUUAAGUCCGGGCUGUUCGGAGGUUGUUGGAUCAACUGAAUGUCUAGGUCAGUCUGUGCUACUGCCUGUCGGAAACCAUCAUCAUGAGGGAGGAGGAAAAUGAAGCGACGUCUGCAUCAGUUUGUGAACCAAGCAAGAGAUGGGUGGAGAUCAAGUGUAAGUAUGAUGCCUGAGCAAUACAUUUCAUCUUCACCAAUUCCUUUUCUGAUUGCUUCUUCGGGGACAUAUGUUACAACUACAUCGGGGACAUAUUUCGCUUCUGUCGGUAGUGGACUACAUCAGGGAAAUCCUGAACUACAGUACCUUCUUCAGGUAACAGUUCAGGGACGAGGACGGCAAGCUCGUUCAGGAGAGGACGGCGAGCUUGUUCAAGGGGAGGACUGUUGCCCAGGGAGCAGAGGAUCUUGCCCAGGGAGCAGAGGAUCUCGCCGUCACAUCAGCCAUCGAGGACAAUGACGAGGUCGGCGGUAUGGCCGCGACUAGGCCAGCGACGAUCGCGAGGAGCAGCGGCGCAACCGGGAUGCAGCGGCGCAACGGAGGACCAGCAGCGCCACAGGAGGAGCUCGUGGUCGACGACGUGGU